rnacentral:rRNA from 1 species
CGUGUAGGCGGGUUGGUAAGUCAGAUGUGAAGGCCCUGGGCUCAACCCAGGAAGUGCAUUUGAAACUGCCAUCCUAGAGUAUGGGAGGGGAGAGUGGAAUUCCCAGUGUAGAGGUGAAAUUCGUAGAUAUUGGGAGGAACACCCGUAGCGAAGGCGACUCUCUGGACCAAUACUGACGCUGAGACGCGAAAGCGUGGGUAGCAAACAGGAUUAGAUACCCUGGUAGUCC